GUGAAGUUUAUGGCCUCUUGCACUACAAAAAUUUAAAAAAAUAUAUAUCAUUCUAUAAUUUCCUCUUUGCAUUUUUUUUCUUAAAAAAGCAGCAUUUAUGAUCUCUUGAAUAACCAAAUUUACAACCAGAAAUAUUAUUCUAUAGAUUCCUCCACUUUGCUUUUUCUUUUUCCUAUUUUAUUCCCUCUCUUUUUUUCUAUCAGUUGGGGCAGGGGAGUUUAAGCUGAGCAUAUGAAGGUUUGUUCUCAGUAUAUACCAAAG
rnacentral:misc_RNA from 1 species